UACAGAGGUGGCAAGCGUUGUUCGGAAUUACUGGGCGUAAAGGGCGCGUAGGCGGCCUUCUAAGUCAGACGUGAAAUCCCCAGGCUUAACUUGGGAACUGCGUCUGAUACUGGGAGGCUUGAGUGCGGGAGAGGGAUGUGGAAUUCCAGGUGUAGCGGUGAAAUUCGUAGAUAUUCGGAAGAACACCAGUGGCGAAGGCGACUCACUGGACAUCUGUUGACGCUGAGGUGCGAAAGCGUGGGGAGCAAACAGG
rnacentral:rRNA from 1 species